GUGUGAUGUGCAGUCAAAUGAUGCAUGGAGGGAAAACUGAUGACAGGACUGAUGCUGAUCAACGAGUUGAUGUCAUGACAUAAUAACAGGGUGAAACAUUCAGACAGGAUGGCGACAAACACAAACAUAUUCACUGAAAAAUAGACCAAUAACUGGUUCAAGGCAUGCAUAGCUCUCAACGUUGCGAAGGAAGGGUUGAAUAACUUCAUUGAAACCGAAUUACAGAAAGUCCACGCAGCGGUUGGUAGUAGUUGUGGGAAUGGUUCUAUUGACAAUCUGAUGGCAUGUCCUACUUCGGGUCUGUGCAACAAAAAAGGAAAAGAAAUGACUGCACGUUUCACCAAACAAUAGUACCCAAGCAAUGCCAAAUGUGCGAUCAAGUGAAGCUAAAAAUCAUAUCAUUUCAUAGAUUUUGAAACCUAUCCUGGCGCAAUACACGGGCAGAAAUGUGGGUGACCGAUCCAUGGGAAAUUUGCAAAUGUUACCUCGCUCCGGAUGGAUACAUAGGUGUUUCCGUGGUGCAGGAAUCUGACUUUAAUGGCAUGAUGAGUUUCAUAUUGAACUGCACACACCAUGAUAGGUGUCUCUCUUCUAGCUUAUCUCCCAAACCACCUGACCCACAGUGUCCGUUAAAAAAGAUUACGUUUACAGCAUAAGCUUACUUAAAAGUGUAACAAAACUAUGGUAUAUGCAGUUGGCUUUGUAACGAAUUGAACUACACUUUUUGGCAUCAGUAAAAUUAUUGCUUGUAUGUUAAAGUUAUUCAUGAUGUCUUAAGGUCCGUCAGAUAGGCCGAGAUAUACGUCAUACAGCCAACUGCAAGGUUACACAUGCUGAUCUCUAAUACUAUUUCCAGACAAUGACAACAUUACUGAAUGAUCCAAAGUGCUUAACGCAUGAUCCUUGGGCACAAAAAACGCGCACGAAAUUACCCUACGAACUUUGGCUGAAGGCGAGUACGCUGAACCAUGACGUCACCGCUGAAAAAUCCAUGACGAUCACGUGCAGUGACGGGACGGACCAAAUCACAAGCAGUUACAAGGUGGACAUUUCGGACGCGAUCGCCAAAGCGUUGCGGGCGUAGGGGUGGGGUGGGGGGAGGCAGCGUGAGGAUAGCAAGAUACAGGCAACGUUCGAUUCCAGGCAUAGAAGUUGUGUAUUUUAGUUCCCGUUGUGAAGAACCCAGUAGACUGAAGAAAAGCGUUUGUUUUUAGAUAACAUAGCAUGGCCUGAUAUUUUUGGACAACAUUGAAAAAACAUGUUCAUAUAUUUGACGAUAUUCCAAAGUUGUGUCGGUAAUUCCCAAAAUAAAAGAAUAAUCGAGUUAACUGAGUGAAAACACUAUGGACAAAGAUAUAUGCUAUAUAUUCCGUUAUGUUAUGGCUUAGACUUAGAUAUUAUAUAUCUAUAUCAUGGGAAACAUUACACAAUGUUUGUAUCUCUCUAAAUGAAAGCAUGAUUCUAUAUAUAUGGCAUUUGCUUUACUUUCAGAUUGAAAUAAAAGUCAAAGUUCAUUUAAGGUCUCCGUUCUAACCAAUUUUGCCGGUACUUCCGGUCCGCUGGGAGACCUAUUGCCAGUGGGCACUUCUGUUCAUCAGUUCACCGCCACCGACCAGAAUGACGCCAUUUCCUGUUCCAUCAACGCACCGGAGGGCGCAAAGUUUGGCAUCACUAAGGUGGAUACCGCUACCGGAGCUCAACCUAAGUUUGGUGAUGUCAUUACGUGAAUGUGUAGACGUCGUUACGUGAGUUUGUUGAUGGUAAUACGUACGUUUAGUGACGUAACUUAAAUGAUGAUGAUGAUUAUUGUGAUAGUGGUGCAGUCAUUAAAAUGAUGAUGAUGAUUGUAAUAGUGGUGUUGUUGAUGAAGAGUAGGAAUAUAAUGAUCAGGAUACUGCUGCUGCUUAUGGCGAUGCUGUUAUGGUGGUGGUGAUGGUGAUGAUGAUGAUGAUGCUAAUGAUGAUGAUAUUGGUGAUGAUGAGGAGGAGGAGGAAUAUUUGUUAAUGCGAGUGUUCAAAGAUGGUAAAAUAGUUUAAAUAUCGGUGACACCUUUGACUAAGCAAUCAUGUUAAGGUGCUUUUUUGACAGGGUUCGACUUCAUUA